UACGUAGGGUGCAAGCGUUAAUCGGAAUUACUGGGCGUAAAGCGUGCGCAGGCGGUUCGCUAAGACAGAUGUGAAAUCCCCCGGGCUUAACCUGGGAACUGCAUUUGUGACUGGCGGGCUAGAGUAUGGCAGAGGGGGGUAGAAUUCCACGUGUAGCAGUGAAAUGCGUAGAGAUGUGGAGGAAUACCGAUGGCGAAGGCAGCCCCCUGGGCCAAUACUGACGCUGAGGAGCGAAAGCGUGGGGAGCGAACAGG
rnacentral:rRNA from 1 species